AUAAUCAUAAAAAAUGAUUUAUUUUUUUUUAUUAGAUGUAGUUUAAAAUUCAUUUUAUAAUUAAUGUAAGAGAUUUAUAUAUCUUAUGAUCAAGCAAUUUACAAAUGUGUUGAAAUAAAAUUACUUGGCGUUAGAUCUAGGUUGAUAACAUAAUGUGCUACUCAAAAAAACACGUUAUUGAGUCUGUUUUAAAGGGAAAUUAUUAAAAUAUAAUGCCGAAUACAUCAAAAAAAUGUAUUUUUUGAUUUUUUGGUGUAUCAUUGAACAAUAACAGUCCACGAUAUUGUAUUAUGAUUCCCCAUCUCUUUAGCGACACUUAUAUUGAAAAUAACAACAAAAGUUGUUUUGUACUGUGCAAUGAUAGCUUUGUCGGCAGUCGGUAUUGCUCUACGUAACUCUUAGGCCAGUCAACGAAGGAGUAAUUUUGGCAAAUGGCGGAAAAAAUUCACAACCAAUUUUUUUUUUUUUUAAAGUUGAAUUAAGAUAUUUAUAAUGAUAUACUAAAAGUCCUCAUCGAUUGGACUUGAGAUUUUUUUUUUACAGCCUCGCAAAAGUUCAAAAAUAUGAGCUUUUUUAAUUUUCGUAACUGUUUAAAAUAAAAUAAAAAAUUAUUUUAUGGUUCUUGACCAAUAGAAACAUUUUGAUGAAUUUAAAAAUAAAAAAACUAUGUUUUUAAAUUUUUAUAGUUAGUUAUAAUCAUUUAACUUAAACAGUUACCAAGGUUACUAUUAAUAAAUGAGCAUGGUAAAGUUUCGUGACGGAUGGUCGUCAAAAUUAGAGUAAUCUCAAUGAAUUUCAAUGCACCAGAAUAUUAUUUUACAAUGUCACGGUAAACUUGAUACCUUUUUUUUUUUUUAAUAAAAAUAAUUUUUAGUAAAUAGCAUUUGAUUUUUUAACAUAACUAUUCCUUUAUUAGAUAUAAAAAUUUAAAGUUUCAAAUUAGUUGUAAAACACAUUGUUUUGAGUUAACAUUUAUAAAUAAAUCAUUUGGCAAUACAGAUAAUAUAGAUGUAUAUAUCGUUAAAAUUAUUAAAGGUUUUCUUAAAUUUUUUUUAUAAUUUCUGGUCAUUUUUUUUAUGAUAUCUCUAUAGACCUAAUUUAUAACAACGUUUUAAGGCGUUUGGGUACCGACUGCUUUUUAGUCAAAAACAACCAAUUUUUGUUCUAUCAGUACGACAAAACUAGUGAUGU